GAUGAACGCUGGCGGCGUGCCUAAUACAUGCAAGUAGAACGCUGAAGCCUGGUGCUUGCACCGAGCGGAUGAGUUGCGAACGGGUGAGUAACGCGUAGGUAACCUGCCUCUUAGCGGGGGAUAACUAUUGGAAACGAUAGCUAAUACCGCAUAAAAGUCGACAUUGCAUGAUGUUGAUUUGAAAGGUGCAAUUGCAUCACUAAGAGAUGGACCUGCGUUGUAUUAGCUAGUUGGUGAGGUAACGGCUCACCAAGGCGACGAUACAUAGCCGACCUGAGAGGGUGAUCGGCCACACUGGGACUGAGACACGGCCCAGACUCCUACGGGAGGCAGCAGUAGGGAAUCUUCGGCAAUGGGGGCAACCCUGACCGAGCAACGCCGCGUGAGUGAAGAAGGUUUUCGGAUCGUAAAGCUCUGUUGUAAGAGAAGAACGAGUGUGAGAGUGGAAAGUUCACACUGUGACGGUAACUUACCAGAAAGGGACGGCUAACUACGUGCCAGCAGCCGCGGUAAUACGUAGGUCCCGAGCGUUAUCCGGAUUUAUUGGGCGUAAAGCGAGCGCAGGCGGUUAGAUAAGUCUGAAGUUAAAGGCUGUGGCUUAACCAUAGUACGCUUUGGAAACUGUUUAACUUGAGUGCAGAAGGGGAGAGUGGAAUUCCAUGUGUAGCGGUGAAAUGCGUAGAUAUAUGGAGGAACACCGGUGGCGAAAGCGGCUCUCUGGUCUGUAACUGACGCUGAGGCUCGAAAGCGUGGGGAGCAAACAGG
rnacentral:rRNA from 1 species